GCGGCUUGAUGAGAAGAAUAUUCACCUAAAAUUUCAAGUGAUUUGAAUUUGUAGAAAAAAAAAAUUAAAAUUCAAAUACUCUCAAUUGUCAAAUCACCCGAGAUUCAAUCUGGGCCAUUGGGCUUAUACUAUUCUGUGAGCUAGUGGGCUCACCCUAGGGUGCAGUUUCUAUAAGGUUUCUAUAAGGUGCAAUUUCUAUAAGGUACGGUUUCUCUCGGUCGUUAUAUAUAUAGGGUGCAGUUUCUAUAAGGUUGCAACCUUAAACAAUGCAAUGAAGGCGCACCUUAGAAUUUUAUCAUUACGUGUAAGUUUGUUGCAAAAAAUUCUUAGUAUUAUCUUAAAAUCUAUUUUCAUACCUAAGUAGAAAAUUUUAAAAUCUAAAAAUGGUUAAAAUCAAGUAGAUCUAUAAAUAUAUGAAAAUCUUGAAAAUUGACGGUCUAGAUAAUAUGUUGCAAGAUGCACUAUUUUCG
rnacentral:lncRNA from 1 species